UACGUAGGGGGCGAGCGUUACCCGGAAUCACUGGGCGUAAAGGGAGCGUAGGUGGCCUGACAUGUCGACUGUGAAAACCCGGAGCUCAACUCCGGACUUGCAGUUGAAACUGCCAGGCUUGAGGACGGUAGAGGAAGACGGAACUGCCAGUGUAGGGGUAAAAUCCUUAGAUAUUGGCAGGAACGCCGGUGACGAAGGUGGUUUUCUGGGCCGGUUCUGACACUGAUGCUCGAAAGCCAGGGGAGCGAACGGGAUUAGAUACCCCGGUAGUCCUGGCCCUAAACGAUGUUCACUAGGUGUGGGGAGCGGAAAGCUUUCCGUGCUAAAGCUAACGCGAUAAGUGAACCGCCUGGGGAGUACGCCCGCAAGGGUGAA
rnacentral:rRNA from 1 species